rfam:Catenovulum agarivorans DS-2 contig12, whole genome shotgun sequence.
CGUGUGGUGCUGUGCAAGUUAAUGUUUAAUUUGGCAUAGUGGCUAUACGGCCCAAUUUGAGGU